rnacentral:tmRNA from 1 species
GGGGGCGAAUUGGAAUCGACCGGAUUGGAUGAAGGCUUGGUGGCGUGUCGUGGUUGAUCAGAAGGCCACGUAAAAAUCUGAUCAAAACCUUAAUUGCUAAAGAUAACUCUUUCGCAUUGGCUGCAUAGUAAUAUGCACCACCGGUUGAUGAGCUUCGCUGGAGAGCUUUGAAAACCGGUCACCAAUUCCAGAUCGUAGUAAGUCACGUCGGAUACGCUUUCUACUAAACAGAGUUUCUGUCUAGCCUGGUUUUCAGGGUGUCUCUGCCCGGCUGAUCAGGCGAAAUUCAAAUCAGUGACUACACACGUAGAGGCCAAUCUGGAAACAUCGCGGGACGCGGGUUCGAUACCCGCCGCCUCCA